rnacentral:rRNA from 1 species
AUACGUAGGUGACAAGCGUUAUCCGGAUUUACUGGGCGUAAAGGGCGUGUAGGCGGUCUUGCAAGUCAGAAGUGAAAUUCCUGAGCUCAACUCGGGCGCUGCUUCUGAAACUGCAGGACUUGAGUGCUGGAGGGGAUAGCGGAAUUCCUAGUGGAGCGGUAAAAUGCGCAGAUAUUAGGAAGAACACCGGUGGCGAAGGCGGAUUUCUGGACGGUAUCUGACGCUGAGGCGCGAAAGCGUGGGGAGAAAACAGGAUUAGAUACCCGGGUAGUCCACGCCGUAAACGAUGAAUACUAGGUGUAGGGGGUAUCGACUCCCUCUGUGCCGCAGUUAACACAAUAAGUAUUCCGCCUGGGGAGUACGGCCGCAAGGUUGAAACUCAAAUGAAUUGACGGGG